rnacentral:rRNA from 1 species
GCGAACGCUGGCGGCAGGCUUAACCCAUGCCAGUCGAGCGGGCAUAGCAAUAUGUCAGCGGCAGACGGGUGAGUAACGCGUGGGAACGUACCUUUUGGUUCGGAACAACUGAGGGAAACUUCAGCUAAUACCGGAUAAGCCCUUACGGGGAAAGAUUUAUCGCCGAAAGAUCGGCCCGCGUCUGAUUAGCUAGUUGGUGAGGUAAUGGCUCACCAAGGCGACGAUCAGUAGCUGGUCUGAGAGGAUGAUCAGCCACAUUGGGACUGAGACACGGCCCAAACUCCUACGGGAGGCAGCAGUGGGGAAUAUUGGACAAUGGGCGCAAGCCUGAUCCAGCCAUGCCGCGUGAGUGAUGAAGGCCCUAGGGUUGUAAAGCUCUUUUGUGCGGGAAGAUAAUGACGGUACCGCAAGAAUAAGCCCCGGCUAACUUCGUG